rnacentral:lncRNA from 1 species
GAGCUUUUAAGAUGAAAUUAAAAAUAUGUUACGAACAGUAACGUAAAAAUGAAAUGCGCGAUGUGUUCCAUAGAACCAAGAGGAGAAACGAAGGAAAAAUUUGCAGCAGCAUUAUAGAUGGAUAUAGAAAACAACAUCAAAUCAUUGAGCUUAGAGCUUCAGUACAAUUCACAUACACAACAAAGAUAAAAGAGUGCAAUAUGAAUGGCAAACAAGUCUCCCUCACUAGUGCAGCCCUAUAAAUGACUGUAGAGCUCACUGGUCUCUUACCAAUUUACAAGUCUCUGCAUCCUUGAUAAAUAGUUUGCGAAACUGAUUGUUCUUUCCAGUUCACACAAAUGGUGGAAAAAAAUAGAAAUUUUCACAACCAAACCCGAUGGGAAAGAAACAAAGCGAAUCCCUACAAAUGGUCCUUCUAUCUAAUCCAAAGCAUGAAGAAAUAAGAGUGGGUGCUUUAUGAUAACUAUAGACUACUCCCACCUCUUUAGUUCACAAGAAAAAGGAAUUCCAAUGUUCUCAAUCUUUCAUAACCUUAUCACUAAAUACUUUCAUACGCUUACAAAGAGCUACAAAAUAUCUGAUAGCCCACAUCUCCUUUUCCGACAGGAAAUUGCCCCCUGUUCCCAUUGCUGCUACUGUCUAAUCUUCUGCUUCUGGUAGCUGUAAACUUUCUCCUAAUAAUUCACAAAAAAUCCGCAGAAAUGCUGCUUCGGGACGAUCGAAAAAUCUCACUAAGCUAAUUUUCCUCCUAAUCAAAUCUUGCAAGAACGGAAAAUAAAUUACAGCAGCUCUAGGAAUAAUUCUCUUCUCCGUGGUCGGUGAAUGCAAUCACACGCAUAACAAGCACCGAUGCAAAGAUUCAAUAGAAAGAUCCGAAUUCUCUCUGAGCAGCUUUAAUAGCUAGGGAGCUUCAUUAUAUUUCAUCAAUCUCUUCAUGAAGGUUUUUUUCAGGAUACAAGGGCAAUGUACUUGCG